rnacentral:tRNA from 1 species
GUGGCUGUAGUUCAGUUGGUUAGAACGUCGGAUUGUGAUUCCGAAGGUCGUGGGUUCGAAUCCCAUCAGCCACCC